UUCUACUUCUUUUUACCUUCAGCAAAUCUUUAAACUUGGGGUCAUCUCGCGAGGUCGGGUCCAGCAUGAUCCUCUCGGCGUUCUCCUCUGGCAAAGACAAGUCCUCAGCAGCGUCCAGUCGGCCUGAAGGUGGAGUCUCAAGCGCUCCAGUGCCUCAACAUCAUCAGCUACUGGAGCAGGAAGUUGCCCCAGACUUGGCGCGGGACUCCCAGAGAGGGACGACGCUGUUGGCUCGACUAAAGCCUUUUCAUCCUCCUAAAAUGGAAGCCAGGUAAAAAAAAAUCCUUCUAAUCCAUCUACUGCUGCCUCUUCUCCUCACCUGCACCAGCACAAGCAUGUGACCGCGAGCCAGGCCGCCAAGGAGGCUGACCAGCUGUUGCCACGCGCCUUCGCUGGGGCCGCCUGUGCCGGGAAAUCGCGCCAGCAGCACCAGAGCGGGGUCGUACUCGUAGGCCAGAGGCAGGAGGAGCCCGAACGUGGCCUGCGCCAACCCCGAAGUUUCGCCGCAGCCGUUCUUCAGACUCACAGGUGAAACAAAAAGAGAAUCGCACUUGGUUGAGCGCGAGCGGGCAUUAUUAGGCAGGUGGAAGCGUUCGCAGCCGUCCGGACAAUCCACGUCCUCGGGGAUCACCACCGCCGUGCGUACAGGAGGCGCGACGCGCUUCUCAGGCUCGGGCCAUGUGACGUGGUCUUUGCCUUCAGCUGCUUCACCGCUUUGGAGCUUUUCUUCUAUCUUAAUGCGCUUCGUGCUGACGUCCGAAGGGGGCGCUUCAGCUGGAGGAAGGUUCCCUUCAUCGGUCCAGUACCUGCAUGCUUGAGACACGACCAAUACUUGCGAUGAGCUGCGCGCACACACUGAACCGACUCCAGCGUGCUGAAAGAGAAACACUGUAAGUCACGCCGUCAUGCGCAAAGUCAAAUUGCCGACACGGCUGAACCUCUGACAGGGUCCUUGAAGGUUGGCGGGCCGGGGCGCCGGAUCGCCCAGUAGACUUUGAACCGUGACACACACGGACUGGCCGAGAGAAGUCAAGUUGUAUCCGCCCUGCCAAACAUUUGCGAGAUGCUAUCAACAAAUUCAAAUGCUUAUUGAAAAUGUAAAGAAUGUGUCCGACCUCCAACACCAUGCACAGUUUUCCCUCGGCGAGGUUCAUCAGCAGGUGGGUGAGGUGGGCGAAGACGUCUGGGGUGGCGCACAUUUCACCCUGGAAAAUAAUAAUAAUUGAUAAAAAUGCAAAUUAAAAAGCACGGCGCUUUAAAUGUACCUCUGGGUCCCCAAUGGCAGAGUCAAAGCCCGCACACACCAGCACCAAGUCCGGGCAAAACUGCAAGAAAAAUCACUCGAGUCCAGUCAGCCCCGUUACUUUGCGUGAAUUCUUCUCACCUGGUAGGCGACGGGCAGAAGGACGUGACAGAAGACGGCAAGAUAGUCCCCGUUCCGCAUGCCAACCUGGACACAGCGGACAUACGACGCUGACUGGAAAGCGAAUGGAAAGGUUGGCAAAUUCCGCGUGUUACUGACCUUGUUCCAAGGCACAUUGAUAUUAAAGCCAGCACCUUUGCCCUCGCCGACACUGUCAUAGUCCGAUUCUCUGAGUUCAGGCCAGAAUUUCUGAUGCUCGUAGCGGUGCCAAGAGAAAUAAAGCACGCUGUGGAAGGAAAGCCAUUGGAAAUUCUGAUCACGUCGAAAGAAAUCUAGUCAAUGUGCGAACCUUGGAUCAUCCUCAAACGCAUACUGCACCCCCUGACCGUGAUGUAUGUCCCAAUCAACGAUCAGCACCCUGAAAAAAAAAAAAAUCAAAUGUCAUAAAAUAGAAAGACAAGCUCCAAGGAUGCACUUGACCUCGUUACCUUUGAGCGCCGUACUUUUGCUGGGCGUAUUUGGCUGCUAUGGCCACAUUGUUGAACACGCAGAAGCCGUUGGCGGCACUGCGCAUGCUGUGGUGCCCCGGAGGUCUGCUCACGAUCAAACACACGAGACAAUGCGCUCAAAUCGAACUGAGAGACUGGCUUCAAAGUUCUUACCUGACUAGAGCCAUGCCAUUUCGCACCCUCCCGCUCAUCACGGCGUCCACCAGUUGCAGUGCGGCUCCCGCUGCCAAUAAGGCGCAGUGAUAGCUGUUCUGUCGCACAAAAAUGGAAGCAUUAAAAUGGCUGCUGAGUCAUUUGGAACUACGACUCAGUUUUUCCACAAUGUUCCAUAGCAACAAUGUUAAUACCACUCACUGGGUGGAAAUAGACGUAUCCAUAUUUCAGAGUGAACUCCCUCAAGUCUUCCAGAGUCAUGUACGGCGUCUUCUUCACCGCUUCGAGGUACUCCUCGCUAGAACAUUUUUGUGAAACUUCAGAAGGCAUAAAAAAAACUUCUGAGAAUUAGAGGUUCAGGACUCACCUGUGAAUCAGGAGAAUGUCGUCGUCUGUGGCUUUGCGGACGGGUACGGAGAUACAUCGAGCAGCCAGACCGCUCUGGACCAAUGCUUCAUAACUCACUGUCAGACGCUCGGGCCUCUCGAGCUCACAAUCUGGACUGGAAGCGCAGCUGAAGAAACUGCUGUAGGUCUGUUUCCAGCCAAGGGAAUCGAUCGGCAUUGAUUCUCAAUCGAUGAUAACACAGUGAGCUAGAGAUACCGAGAGAUACUGACUUCCUCGGAGAACCAGGUCGCCUUCCACGGCGGUGAGCCCGAAGGCGUCUAUCCGGCGGCUCACCAUGGUGUUCCACACCACACUUUGGUAGCUGUGGAUGUACAUCAGCCGGUUGUUUCGGGGGAUCUGCACAAAACCACGCAGAACAUCAAGACGGGCUUUUGAUUCAAAUUGAAUAGAACUCACCAGUCCGAAGGCGGUGACGAUGUUGUUUUUGCCGUGCUGGGCCAGGCCUCGGAGGAGCUGGCCUUCCACGCAGCGCUUGUUGGGCAGCUUCUUCAGGGCCGCCUCGGGGUCCUGAGUCUUGGCCCACUCCUCCCUGCAGCGCACCAAAAAUUCUUUCUCAGCUGCGGGGAGACAAGACGGAAACGUCAGCGUGACCACAAAAUUCCACUCCAGGCGGAUUUAGGAACUUCAGUACCUCCGGGACGAGGCUUGAGAAUUAAAUCCACCACUUGCUUCCAGUCGUUCUUCAGGAUGGCCCUGACACAGAAACGUCGUGUGAGCGGAGGCGGAGUCUCGGCGCGGGACGGCGUCGGUUACCUGCCGACUUGCUGCGUGGGAACCGCCGUGGUGCCGAAGCGCUGCAUGCCGUAGUAGUUGAUGAAGCCCGUCUGCUUGAGGGACGUCACGGCCUGAUGGACCUGGGCGUCGCUUCCUGAGAUGUUCCUUACGCCAACACAUUAAGCGACUAUGAGAAGCAGGACAACUGAAAAAUGACGAGUCACCUAGCUCAUUCCGAUAUUGAAAAAUAAAGCCCGACAUUUGGCGCACCUGAUGAUCACAGUGAAGUGGUUCCCCUGCAGCUCGCCCAGCUUGAGAGGGUGAUUCUUGUAGGAGAAAUUUCCCAGCUUGAGGUUCAUCAGGCACUUGUUGAGGUGGGCCAACCUUUCUGCUGUGAUCCUGAAAACGGAGAGCGUUGGCGGCGUGAGCUUCGCCGCUUGCGCCCGAGCGACUCGUCCACACUCACUUGAGCACGGCGAUCUCCUGCACGGUGAUGGCCCUCUUGUCCUUGGUGCCCAUGUAGGAGAACAUGUUGGGUCUGAGCCUGGCAAAACAACAUCGAGACAAGAACUUCUUACCUGCAGAUGUCUUCACCUCUAUCCCAAGAGGAGCAAAAUAUAGACAAUAGAAGAGCGUUACUCAGCGCAAGAUGUUCGGGAGCUGAGCCGCAUGCAAAAGCAAACCCGCGAGUGGACUGAAAAUAGGAUCAGGUGAGCAUUCGUGGCGAGCAAUCUCGGAUGGGAACCUCAGUGAUGCCUUGACAUCCCGGAAAGACUCAUGCACGUGUUUUUAGACUGGAUUUACACUGCAAGGCUCAGGCGACGAUUCAGAUUGUUUUGCUCUCCAAUGGCACAAAGAAAAACAUUCGUUUUUAGUUAUUUGAUUAAUCAUGACAGCCAUUUCUUGGAUUGAACAUGGAAAUAAUAAUAAUUUUAAAAAAUCAAUUAUAGACAUUAAAUUAGGACAUCUGACCCGCAGUGUAAUCCAGCCUUAUCAUCAUGCACAUGCCGUUUGAUUUCUUAAGGAUGUCAUAAAAAUAUGCAUUGAAACCUCAAAAGUAAAAAA